rnacentral:sRNA from 3 species
UCAAGUAGAUAAAAAAGGAUAGAUUUUGAAUUCAUUUGGCUUAUCAGUCCGAAUUCAGACAAAUAUAAACAAAUCCCGCUCAAUAUUAAAAAUACUAACCGGUAAAAGAUAUUACUUAAACAUGUAAAUUCACUUUCUUUAAGCAACAAAAAACCGCCAAAAUCAGGCGGUUAUUUGUUGCUGGUUUGGU